CCUUCAGAGUAGAUGAAGGAGAGGAGACAGGUUAAAUCCCCUUCAGAGUAGAUGAAGGAGAGGAGACAGGUUAAAUCCCCUUCAGAGUAGAUGAAGGAGAGGAGACAGGUUAAAUCCCCUUCAGAGUAGAUGAAGGAGAGGAGACAGGUUAAAUCCACUUCAGGGUAGAUGAAGGAGAGGAGACAGGUUAAAUCCCCUUCAGAGUAGAUGAAGGAGAGGAGACAGGUUAAAUCCACUUCAGAGUAGAUGAAGGAGAGGAGACAGGUUAAAUCCACUUCAGAGUAGAUGAAGGAGAGGAGACAGGUUAAAUCCCCUUCAGAGUAGAUGAAGGAGAGGAGACAGGUUAAAUCCACUUCAGGGUAGAUGAAGGAGAGGAGACAGGUUAAAUCCACUUCAGAGUAGAUGAAGGAGAGGAGACAGGUUAAAUCCCCUUCAGGGUAGAUGAAGGAGAGGAGACAGGUUAAAUCCCCUUCAGGGUAGAUGAAGGAGAGGAGACAGGUUAAAUCCCCUUCAGGGUAGAUGAAGGAGAGGAGACAGGUUAAAUCCCCUUCAGGGUAGAUGAAGGAGAGGAGACAGGUUAAAUCCCCUUCAGAGUAGAUGAAGGAGAGGAGACAGGUUAAAUCCCCUUCAGAGUAGAUGAAGGAGAGGAGACAGGUUAAAUCCCCUUCAGAGUAGAUGAAGGAGAGGAGACAGGUUAAAUCCCCUUCAGAGUAGAUGAAGGAGAGGAGACAGGUUAAAUCCCCUUCAGAGUAGAUGAAGGAGAGGAGACAGGUUAAAUCCACUUCAGAGUAGAUGAAGGAGAGGAGACAGGUUAAAUCCCCUUCAGAGUAGAUGAAGGAGAGGAGACAGGUUAAAUCCCCUUCAGAGUAGAUGAAGGAGAGGAGACAGGUUAAAUCCCCUUCAGAGUAAAUGAAGGAGAGGAGACAGGUUAAAUCCACUUCAGAGUAGAUGAAGGAGAGGAGACAGGUUAAAUCCCCUUCAGAGUAGAUGAAGGAGAGGAGACAGGUUAAAUCCCCUUCAGAGUAAAUGAAGGAGAGGAGACAGGUUAAAUCCCCUUCAGAGUAGAUGAAGGAGAGGAGACAGGUUAAAUAAGGAUUUUAUAGCCUUCUGACAUGGGGUUGCAACUCAAUAUUAGGAAGUUCUUUGUCCACUCAGUGUAUAUCUGUGGCUCUGGCUGCAGUCUUUAUAAUGGAC